UACGUAGGUGACCAGCGUUGUCCGGAUUUACUGGGCGUAAAGAGCGCGCAGGCGGUCGUUCAAGUCGAGUGUGAAAGCCCCCGGCUCAACUGGGGAGGGUCACUUGAUACUGAUCGACUCGAAGGCAGGAGAGGGAAGCGGAAUUCCCGGUGUAGUGGUGAAGUGCGUGAGAUAUCGGGAGGAACACCAGUGGCGAAGGGCGGGUCUCUGGACAGUUCCUGGACGCUGACGGCACGAAGGCCAGGGGA
rnacentral:rRNA from 1 species